rnacentral:rRNA from 1 species
AACGAACGCUGGCGGCGUGCUUAACACAUGCAAGUCGAACGCGAACGGGUUCUUCGGGACCUUAGUAGAGUGGCGCACGGGUGAGUAACGCGUAAGUUAUCUACCUCGGCAUCUGGAAUAACUCACCGAAAGGUGUGCUAAUACCGGAUACGUUGAGUAAUCAAGAAGGGUGGCCUCUCUUUGAUGCUACCGUGCUGAGAUGAGCUUGCGUACCAUUAGCUAGUUGGUGGGGUAAUGGCCUACCAAGGCGACGAUGGUUAGCGGGUCUGAGAGGGCGAUCCGCCACACUGGAACUGGAACACGGACCAGACUCCGACGGGAGGCAGCAGUGAGGAAUAUUGCGCAAUGGGGGCAACCCUGACGCAGCGACGCCGCGUGGAUGAUGAAGGCCUUCGGGUCGUAAAAUCCUGUCAGGUGGAUAGAAAUGUAUAUGUGCUAAUACCAUGUAUACUUGACGGUACCACCGAAGGAAGCACCGGCUAACUCCGUGCCAGCCGCCGCGGUAACAC